UGAUGCAUGGUCCCAAAUACUCCAAAGACUAAAUUAGAAUUUUGAUCCUGUCAUUGGGUACUAUAGCAAAACUACUUCUAAUUUGAAAGCUAUUCUACAAUGUCCUAAAAUAUUGUAGUAAAGAAAAAAAAAUGCACCUAGUAAUUUCCAAAACCAGGUAACCAAGGAUCAUCAAUAUAAGAGAUGGGCAACAAAAAUCCAAAGUGAACCAAGAGAAAUGAGUGAAAGUUCAGCCAGUGCUACAAAGGGUGGCCAGGCAGGAUGGCCAUUUAUCAAGAGAGUCAGAUCUUACUAUGAGCCAGAAAAUGGAAGGAGUGACAAAGGAAAAGAUUUAAGAUGAAAGAAAGAGAGGAAUGAAGGAAGAGAAAAGAAGAAUGGAAAGAAGGAAGGAAGGAAGGAAGGAAGGAAGGAAGGAAGGAAG